rnacentral:rRNA from 1 species
GAUGAACGCUGGCGGCGUGCCUAAUACAUGCAAGUCGAGCGAACAGACGAGGAGCUUGCUCCUCUGACGUUAGCGGCGGACGGGUGAGUAACACGUGGAUAACCUACCUAUAAGACUGGGAUAACUUCGGGAAACCGGAGCUAAUACCGGAUAAUAUAUUGAACCGCAUGGUUCAAUAGUGAAAGACGGUUUUGCUGUCACUUAUAGAUGGAUCCGCGCCGCAUUAGCUAGUUGGUAAGGUAACGGCUUACCAAGGCAACGAUGCGUAGCCGACCUGAGAGGGUGAUCGGACACACUGGAACUGAGACACGGUCCAGACUCCUACGGGAGGCAGCAGUAGGGAAUCUUCCGCAAUGGGCGAAAGCCUGACGGAGCAACGCCGCGUGAGUGAUGAAGGUCUUCGGAUCGUAAAACUCUGUUAGUAGGGAGGAACAAAAGUGUAAUUAACUAUGCACGUCUUGACGGUACCUAAUCAGAAAGCCACGGCUAACUACGUG